AGGUGCGAUCAUACCAGCACUAAUGCACCGGAUCCCAUCAGAACUCCGCAGUUAAGCGUGCUUGGGCGAGAGUAGUACUAGGAUGGGUGACCUCCUGGGAAGUCCUCGUGUUGCACCU
rnacentral:rRNA from 14 species